UCGGGAAUUUUGGGCAAUGGGCGAAAGCCUGACCCAGCAACGCCGCGUGAAGGAUGAAGUAUUUCGGUAUGUAAACUUCGAAAGAAUAGGAAGAAUAAAUGACGGUACUAUUUAUAAGGUCCGGCUAACUACGUGCCAGCAGCCGCGGUAAUACGUAGGGACCAAGCGUUGUUCGGAUUUACUGGGCGUAAAGGGCGCGUAGGCGGCGCGGUAAGUCACUUGUGAAAUCUCUGAGCUUAACUCAGAACGGCCAAGUGAUACUGCAGUGCUAGAGUGCAGAAGGGGCAAUCGGAAUUCUUGGUGUAGCGGUGAAAUGCGUAGAUAUCAAGAGGAACACCUGAGGUGAAGACGGGUUGCUGGGCUGACACUGACGCUGAGGCGCGAAAGCUAGGGGAGCAAACGGGAUUAGAUACCCAAGUAGUCCCUGAGCGGGCUGGCAAGGCGCAU
rnacentral:rRNA from 1 species